AGUGAACGCUGGCGGUAGGCCUAACACAUGCAAGUCGAACGGCAGCACAGUAAGAGCUUGUUCUUACGGGUGGCGAGUGGCGGACGGGUGAGGAAUACAUCGGAAUCUACUUUUUCGUGGGGGAUAACGUAGGGAAACUUACGCUAAUACCGCAUACGACCUACGGGUGAAAGCAGGGGAUCUUCGGACCUUGCGCGAUUGAAUGGGCCGAUGUCGGAUUAGCUAGUUGGCGGGGUAAAGGCCCACCAAGGCGACGAUCCGUAGCUGGUCUGAGAGGAUGAUCAGCCACACUGGAACUGAGACACGGUCCAGACUCCUACGGGAGGCAGCAGUGGGGAAUAUUGGACAAUGGGCGCAAGCCUGAUCCAGCCAUACCGCGUGGGUGAAGAAGGCCUUCGGGUUGUAAAGCCCUUUUGUUGGGAAAGAAAAGCAGCAGGUUAAUACCCCGCUGUUCUGACGGUACCCAAAGAAUAAGCACCGGCUAACUUCGUG
rnacentral:rRNA from 1 species